GAUGAACGCUGGCGGCGUGCUUAACACAUGCAAGUCGAACGGGAAACAUUUCAUUGAAGCUUCGGCAGAUUUGGUCUGUUUCUAGUGGCGGACGGGUGAGUAACGCGUGGGUAACCUGCCUUAUACUGGGGGGAUAACAGCCAGAAAUGGCUGCUAAUACCGCAUAAGCGCACAGGACCGCAUGGUCCAGUGUGAAAAACUCCGGUGGUAUAAGAUGGACCCGCGUUGGAUUAGCUAGUUGGCAGGGCAGCGGCCUACCAAGGCGACGAUCCAUAGCCGGCCUGAGAGGGUGGACGGCCACAUUGGGACUGAGACACGGCCCAGACUCCUACGGGAGGCAGCAGUGGGGAAUAUUGCACAAUGGGGGAAACCCUGAUGCAGCGACGCCGCGUGAAGGAAGAAGUAUCUCGGUAUGUAAACUUCUAUCAGCAGGGAAGAUAAUGACGGUACCUGACUAAGAAGCCCCGGCUA
rnacentral:rRNA from 1 species